rnacentral:lncRNA from 1 species
UAAUAAUAAAUCUCGUUCCAUUUCCAUGUUAACUGACAAAUUAACAGCUGCGAAUAUUGAAGUUAAACAAGCUAAAAAUGACGCAGAUGGCCUUAUAAUUAAGACAGCAAUUGAAAAAUUUAAGGCAACAAACACAACAAUUGUAGUUGGUGAAGAUGUUGAUUUGUUAGUACUGCUUACUGCAAGGACUCCAGUAGAUAAAGUUAUUUAUUUUCUGAAACCUGGAAGGGCUCAACAGCGAACAGAGAUAUAUUCUUCGAAAAGUUUAUCGGCUUAUCCCAAAUGCCAAAAGUACAUUUUAUUUUUACAUCCGAUAACCGGAUGCUACACUACGUCAGCAAUGUACAGAAGGGGCAAAACGUCAGUACUUAAGUUAUUCGAAAAAAAAAA